rnacentral:rRNA from 1 species
AUUGAACGCUGGCGGCAUGCCUUACACAUGCAAGUCGAACGGUAACAGGUCUUCGGAUGCUGACGAGUGGCGAACGGGUGAGUAAUGCAUCGGAACGUGCCCAGUUGUGGGGGAUAACUGCUCGAAAGAGCAGCUAAUACCGCAUACGACCUGAGUGUGAAAGCGGGGGAUCGCAAGACCUCGCGCAAUUGGAGCGGCCGAUGUCAGAUUAGGUAGUUGGUGGGGUAAAGGCCUAGCAAGCCGACGAUCUGUAGUUGGUCUGAGAGGACGACCAGCCACACUGGGAGUGAGACACGGCCCAGACUCCUACGGGAGGCAGCAGUGGGGAAUAUUGGACAAUGGGCGCAAGCCUGAUCCAGCAAUGCCGCGUGUAGGAAGAAGGCCUUCGGGUUGUAAACUGCUUUUGUCAGGGAAGAAAUCCUCUGGGUUAAUACCCCGGGGGGAUGACGGUACCUGAAGAAUAAGCACCGGCUAACUACGUGCCAGCCGCCGCCGUAA